AGAGUUUGAUCCUGGCUCAGAACGAACGCUGGCGGCAGGCCUCAAACAUGCAAGUCUAGGGGGUGUAGCAAUACAUCACCGGCGGACGGGUGCGUAACACGUGGGAAUAUACCUUUUGGUUCGGAACAACGCAGGGAAACUUGCGCUAAUACCGAAUGUGCCCUUACGGGGAAAGAUUUAUCGCCAAAGGAUUAGCCCGCGUAGGAUUAGCUAGUUGGUGAGGUAAUGGCUCACCAAGGCUCCGAUCCUUAGCUGUUCUGAGAGGAAGAUCAGCCACACUGGGACUGAGACACGGCCCAGACUCCUACGGGAGGCAGCAGUUGGGAAUCUUGGACAAUGGGGGAAACCCUGAUCCAGCCAUGCCGCGUGAGUGAUGAAGGCCUUCGGGUUGUAAAACUCUUUCGACGGGGACGAUAAUGACGGUACCCGUAGAAGAAGCUCCGGCUAACUUCGUGCCAGCAGCCGCGGUAAUA
rnacentral:rRNA from 1 species